UGGUAACCUCAAUGUCCCUUGGUUCUCUGUCACUGGAAGAGCCCCUCGAUAUUUGUUUCUGGCACGCCCCUAGGGGUAGUAUCAAGGUGGUGUCGGCAGACACCACUCACAGGGUGGGGCGCAGUUUACGAAGGAAGAGCAGUAAACGGAUAGUGUUUCUUUCCUUGAAAAACGUUCUACCCUGCCUUCGAAUUGUCACAUCCUGGUCCGGACAAACAAUACGACCGUGGUGGCAUACAUCGACCGCCAGUGUGAAGCAGAGUACACCUACUCUCACUACGCGUGGCUCAUGUCCCAGGAGUACUGAAUGAAGGAGCGGAUUGGAGACUCGGAUUGAAGUGAUGCACAAUUGAGAGCAUCCUGUCGAGCUGUAUCACCGCCUGGUAGGCAACUACACCGCCCACAACCGCUAGGCUCUCCAGAGGGUGGUGCGGUCUGCACAACGCAUCACCGGGGCAAAUUACCUGCCCUCCAGGUCACCUACAGCACCCGAUGUCACAGGAAGGCCAACAAAAAGAAUCAAGGACAACAACCACCCGAGCCACUGCCUGUUCACCCCGCUAUCAUCCAGAAGGCGAGAUUUCCUCCUCUUCGUCUGAAGAGGUGUAGUAUGGAUCGGACCAAGAUGUGGCAUGGUAAGUGUUCAUGAUGUUUAAUUUUAAAGACAAACUGAACACUAAAAUACAAAAACGUACCGUGAAUAACCGAAACCAAAAACAGUACUGUGUGGUGAACAGACACAGAUACAGAAACAAUCACCCACAAAAUACCCAAAGAACAUGGCUGCCUAAAUAUGGUUCCCAAUCAGAGACAACGAUAAACACCUGCCUCUAAUUGAGAACCAAUCUAGGCAACCAUAGACUUAUAUACACCUAGACUAGAAAACACCCCAUAAACAUACAAAAUGUUUUGGAAUAUUUUUAUUCUGUACAAGACUCCUUCUUUUCACUCUUUCAUUUAGGUUAUUAUUGUGGAGUAACUACAAUGCUGAACCAUUCUCCGUUUUCUCCUAUCACAGCCAUUAAAUUCUGUAAGUGUUUUAAAGUCACCAUUGGCCUGUAAAUUCUGUAAGUGUUUUAAAGCCACCAUCCCUGAGCCGUUUCCUUCCAAUCAGUCACCUGAGUAGGAAGGACACCUGUAUCUUCGUAGUGACUGGGUGUAUUGAUACACCAUCUAAAAUGUAAU
ensembl:lncRNA